UAUGUACUCCCUCCAUUCCAAAAUACUUGACUUCCAUUUGUCCAAAAAUGGAUGUACCUAUAUACUAAAACAUGUCUAGAUACAUAUAUAUUUUGACAAAUAGAAGGCAUGUAUUGUGCAACGGAGGGAGUAGAAU
rnacentral:pre_miRNA from 1 species